GAUGAACGCUGGCGGCGUGCUUAACACAUGCAAGUCGAACGAAGCAUUUAGGACAGAUUACUUCGGUUUGAAGUUCUUUAUGACUGAGUGGCGGACGGGUGAGUAACGCGUGGGUAACCUGCCUUGUACUGGGGGAUAGCAGCUGGAAACGGCUGGUAAUACCGCAUAAGCGCACAAUGUUGCAUGACAUGGUGUGAAAAACUCCGGUGGUAUAAGAUGGACCCGCGUCUGAUUAGCUAGUUGGUGAGAUAACAGCCCACCAAGGCGACGAUCAGUAGCCGACCUGAGAGGGUGACCGGCCACAUUGGGACUGAGACACGGCCCAGACUCCUACGGGAGGCAGCAGUGGGGAAUAUUGCACAAUGGAGGAAACUCUGAUGCAGCGACGCCGCGGGAGUGAAGAAGUAAUUCGUUAUGUAAAGCUCUAUCAGCAGGGAAGAUAGUGACGGUACCUGACUAAGAAGCUCCGGCUAAAUACGU
rnacentral:rRNA from 1 species